rnacentral:rRNA from 1 species
UACGAAGGGUGCGAGCGUUAAUCGGAAUUACUGGGCGUAAAGCGCGCGUAGGUGGUUAAGUAAGCGAUCUGUGAAAGCCCCGGGCUUAACCUGGGAACUGCAGGUCGAACUGCUUGGCUAGAGUAUGGUAGAGGGGUGUGGAAUUUCCUGUGUAGCGGUGAAAUGCGUAGAUAUAGGAAGGAACAUCAGUGGCGAAGGCGACACCCUGGACCGAUACUGACACUGAGGCGCGAAAGCGUGGGUAGCGAACAGGAUUAGAUACCCUGGUAGUCCACGCCGUAAACGAUGUCUGCUAGCCGUUGGGGGGCUUGUCCCUUCAGUGGCGGAGCUAACGCGAUAAGCAGACCGCCUGGGGAGUACGGCCGCAAGGUUAAA